GACGAACGCUGGCGGCGUGCUUAACACAUGCAAGUCGAACGAAGAGCGAUGGAAGCUUGCUUCUAUCAAUCUUAGUGGCGAACGGGUGAGUAACGCGUAAUCAACCUGCCCUUCAGAGGGGGACAACAGUUGGAAACGACUGCUAAUACCGCAUACGAUCUAAUCUCGGCAUCGAGGAUAGAUGAAAGGUGGCCUCUACAUGUAAGCUAUCACUGAAGGAGGGGAUUGCGUCUGAUUAGCUAGUUGGAGGGGUAACGGCCCACCAAGGCGAUGAUCAGUAGCCGGUCUGAGAGGAUGAACGGCCACAUUGGGACUGAGACACGGCCCAGACUCCUACGGGAGGCAGCAGUGGGGAAUCUUCCGCAAUGGACGAAAGUCUGACGGAGCAACGCCGCGUGAGUGAGGACGGCCUUCGGGUUGUAAAGCUCUGUUAAUCGGGACGAAAGGCCUUCUUGCGAACAGUUAGAAGGAUUGACGGUACCGGAAUAGAAAGCCACGGCUAACUACGUG
rnacentral:rRNA from 1 species